AGAGUUUGAUCCUGGCUCAGAUUGAACGCUGGCGGCAGGCUUAACACAUGCAAGUCGAGCGGGGAAAGGUAGCUUGCUACCUUACCUAGCGGCGGACGGGUGAGUAAUGCUUAGGAAUCUGCCUAUUAGUGGGGGACAACAUUUCGAAAGGAAUGCUAAUACCGCAUACGCCCUACGGGGGAAAGCAGGGGACCUUCGGGCCUUGCGCUAAUAGAUGAGCCUAAGUCGGAUUAGCUAGUUGGUGGGGUAAAGGCCUACCAAGGCGACGAUCUGUAGCGGGUCUGAGAGGAUGAUCCGCCACACUGGGACUGAGACACGGCCCAGACUCCUACGGGAGGCAGCAGUGGGGAAUAUUGGACAAUGGGGGGAACCCUGAUCCAGCCAUGCCGCGUGUGUGAAGAAGGCCUUUUGGUUGUAAAGCACUUUAAGCGAGGAGGAGGCUACUUAGAUUAAUACUCUAGGAUAGUGGACGUUACUCGCAGAAUAAGCACCGGCUAACUCUGUGCCAGCAGCCGCGGUAAUACAGAGGGUGCAAGCGUUAAUCGGAUUUACUGGGCGUAAAGCGUGCGUAGGUGGCCAAUUAAGUCAAAUGUGAAAUCCCCGAGCUUAACUUGGGAAUUGCAUUCGAUACUGGUUGGCUAGAGUAUGGGAGAGGAUGGUAGAAUUCCAGUGUAGCGGUGAAAUGCGUAGAGAUCUGGAGGAAUACCGAUGGCGAAGCAGCCAUCUGGCCUAAUACUGACACUGAGUACGAAAGCAUGGGAGCAAACA
rnacentral:rRNA from 1 species